UACGGAGGAUCCAAGCGUUAUCCGGAAUCAUUGGGUUUAAAGGGUCCGUAGGCGGUUUACUAAGUCAGUGGUGAAAGCCCAUCGCUUAACGAUGGAACGGCCAUUGAUACUGUUAGACUUGAAUUAUUGGGAAGUAACUAGAAUAUGUAGUAUAGCGGUGAAAUGCUUAGAUAUUACAUGGAAUACCAAUUGCGAAGGCAGGUUACUAUCAAUAUAUUGACGCUGAUGGACGAAAGCGUGGGGAGCGAACAGG
rnacentral:rRNA from 1 species